UAGCUUGCUACUCUGCUGACGAGCGGCGGACGGGUGAGUAAUGCUUGGGAAUAUGCCUUAUGGUGGGGGACAACAGUUGGAAACGACUGCUAAUACCGCAUGAUGUCUACGGACCAAAGUGGGGGACCUUCGGGCCUCACGCCAUAAGAUUAGCCCAAGUGGGAUUAGCUAGUUGGUGAGGUAAUGGCUCACCAAGGCGACGAUCCCUAGCUGGUUUGAGAGGAUGAUCAGCCACACUGGGACUGAGACACGGCCCAGACUCCUACGGGAGGCAGCAGUGGGGAAUAUUGCACAAUGGGCGCAAGCCUGAUGCAGCCAUGCCGCGUGUGUGAAGAAGGCCUUCGGGUUGUAAAGCACUUUCAGUAAGGAGGAAAGGUUAAGUGUUAAUAGCACUUAGCUGUGACGUUACUUACAGAAGAAGCACCGGCUAACUCCGUGCCAGCAGCCGCGGUAAUACGGAGGGUGCGAGCGUUAAUCGGAAUUACUGGGCGUAAAGCGUACGCAGGCGGUUUGUUAAGCGAGAUGUGAAAGCCCCGGGCUCAACCUGGGAACUGCAUUUCGAACUGGCAAACUAGAGUGUGAUAGAGGGUGGUAGAAUUUCAGGUGUAGCGGUGAAAUGCGUAGAGAUCUGAAGGAAUACCGAUGGCGAAGGCAGCCACCUGGGGUCAACACUGACGCUCAUGUACGAAAGCGUGGGGGAGCAAACAGGGAUUAGAUACCCUGGUAGUCCACGCCGUAAACGAUGUCUACUAGAAAGCUCGGGUCUUCGGACUUGUUUUUCAAAGCUAACGCAUUAAGU
rnacentral:rRNA from 1 species